GAUUAACGCUGGCGGCGUGCAUAACACAUGCAAGUCGAACGAAGUGGCGGACGGGUGAGUAACGCGUGAGUAACCUGCCUUACACAAGGGGAUAGCCGUUGGAAACGACGAAUAAUACCCUAUGGUGUAAGAUGGACUCGCGUCUGAUUAGCUAGUUGGUGAGGUACCGGCCCACCAAGGCAACGAUCAGUAGCCGGCUUUGAGACAUGGACGGCCACCUUGGGGCAGGUACACGGGCCGGACUCUACGGGAGGCAGCAAUGGGGAAGUUGGCACGAUGGGGGAAACCCUGAGGCAGCGACGCCGCGGGAUUUAGAAGGCCUUCGGGUUGUAAAAAUCUUUUGUAUGGGAAGCGGUACCAUACGAAUAAGGACCGGCUAACUACGUGCCAGCAGCCGCGGUAAUUC
rnacentral:rRNA from 1 species